rnacentral:lncRNA from 1 species
ACGCAAUUCCCAUGCUCACCAGUUAUAGCACCAAAAUCCACCCUCUCUUCAAACUCACCUCACUCUCGUGAAUGUCCUUCCCAAAUCCUAGCGUGACGUGGAUGAUCCGCCGAAUCCUCACCACGAUCGAUUAGGUUAAACAGUUUCGCAAAGUUUGUUUUUUCAUACAGGCAGCGUGUGGUAAUUGGUUUGUUCCAAUUCUGAUAGGUGCACCUGACAUGGCAUUUCUGCGAGUCACGAUUUCAGUCCCCGCUAAAGCAAUUGUGGCCGUCUCCAUUCAUAACAUCUGCUCAGGCUCAUCCCGCGCUUGGGUACUUGACUUUGACUACGCUAUUCAAAGCAAUCUACCCUCCAAUUUUUGCACUGCUUUCGGUUGAUGGCUAUUAUGCCUAUUCCUGCUCAAACUCAAACUCAUAAGCCAAGACUCCUAUUCCGGGUAGUGUGUUUGAUAGUCCUUUGCUCUUUACAAACCCCUGACUCGUUCAUUCACUCGCUUGGAUUCAGUGUCGUUCGCUUGUGAAACCGUAGCGUAGGCGAAACCUGGCAGCCCGCCCAGAACCAGAGUUUGACCUUCUCCGGCCCUGGUAGGAAACCCCACUUUCCUUCCCCCAGCAGGCAACAACACUGGGAGAAAGACGAUCAGGAUCUCACGUGUUG